UACGUAGGGUGCAGGCGUUAAUCGGAAUUACUGGGCGUAAAGCGUGCGCAGGCGGUUUGCUAAGAGAGAUGUGAAGUCCCCGGGCUUAACCUGGGAACUGCGUUUCUAACUGGCAGGCUUGAGUGUGGCAGAGGGGGGUGGAAUUCCACGUGUAGCAGUGAAAUGCGUAGAGAUGUGGAGGAACACCGAUGGCGAAGGCAGCCCCCUGGGCUAACACUGACGCUCAUGCACGAAAGCGUGGGGAGCAAACAGG
rnacentral:rRNA from 1 species